rnacentral:ncRNA from 1 species
AUAAUGCUACUUCCGUCCAGCCACAGACAUCGCAAUGGGGACGGCUCGCAGAGAACCUGGGAGAGGUGAAAUUCCUAUGA